ACAGUACAAACUGAGCAGGCGAUGCCUUUGGAGUUUUUUAUUCUGAGGGCGUGGGGCCGGGCCGCAGGAAGCGGCAGCGGAUAUGUUUACGAGAUAAGAAUUUCAGACAUAUCUGCGGGACAGU
rnacentral:ncRNA from 1 species